rnacentral:lncRNA from 1 species
GCUUAUUGGACAGCAGUUAGUUCAGGGAGUAGGGGAGCUGAUGAUCCUGUGUGUACUGAUAUGUUAGUAUGGGUGGGAAGGAGAGCAAUGCUGAGGAGACUAGUGAUGAGUUAGACGUUAAAUGGGAAGUAGAGGAGAGGGUCGUAUGUAAGAGUGGAACACUGCCUGUGGGAAUACCAGCAUGGAGAUUUUAGUCAACAAUUGUAUCACGUCAUAUAUUUGAUAUCUUGGUAAAAGCUGGUAAGUGUUCCCCACCUCCCAAAGUGGUAAUUAUUAGAGGUGAGGGAUGAGUUAAUUAGCUUGUGGUAACCAUCUCGAAUCAUUAAUGUGUACACUAUAAAUAAAUAGUUUUCUCAAUCAUACCUCAAUAAAGCUGGGGAAAACCAACAAACAACCCCCUCACACACAAGCUGGGCUGUGUGGGGGCUACAACUUUUUGGCCUGUUUUGACUCUGUUGCCUUUUCCUCAUUAACCCCUAACUACGGGUGAUUUGCAACUUGUUUUCAUCUUCCCAUACCUUGUAUGUCCUCUUUCUACAGUGUAAUAACUUCAUUGCUUGAGAUACUAAAUGCGUGGCUGGGGACCCUCACGUUUCUUGCUCGACGUGCAGCCAUUUCACCUUUGCACAGGAGAAGGGCGGCCUAAUGUUUCCUGCAAGCAAUUUUUUGAUGGGAAGUUCUCCCUGCAGGAGUGAACAAGGGGAGCAACAUUUAGACACCUGGGGAGGGGGAUAUUUAUUUUCGUCUUUAUUCAUUCCUUAUAAGGACGGGCAAGCUGGGUGCUCUUAUGGAAAUUCCAAUCCAGACUUGGCGGUGGCUGAAAGGAUGAAGAAAUUAAAAUACUAGGGAUGCAGGGUUGUAGCGGGGCCUUGUGAGGGAAAGAGAAUUCCUGGACCCGGGGCCAGAAAAUGCAAAUUCAAGUCGUUCAUAAAACUCUGUUCUGUUAAAGGAAGGAUGCAGAGGUCAUGAGGGAGCAGAAAGGUUGAGUCAGGUGUAGAUUAGAAGAGAGGCCAUAUGAUAGGUAGGAUUUGAGUUGGGGGGGGGUCCGCAGGGGAGGAAGGGAGGGAGAAGGGAACUAGGAUUGUCAUGUAAUUCAAUCUUGUUUGAAAUUCAAAUAUAUAAAAAACAAAAAACUACCUGGACACAUGGGGAAGGGCCUAGGCCUGGCCCAGGAUGACGUGGUAGACUUUGGGGAGCCCCUUUUGAGGGCCUUACUCUGUCUGGG